rnacentral:rRNA from 1 species
ACCCCGGGAAACUGGGGCUAACUCUCGAUAGGCGAAGAACUCUGGAAUGAGUCUUUACCUAAAUAGUGCAACGUUAUCCUCGUUGCAUCGCCUAAGGAUGAGGCCGCGACCGAUCAGGUUGUUGGCGAGGUAAUGGCUCACCAAGCCUUUUACCGGUGCGGGCCGUGAGAGCGGGAGCCCGGAGAUGGGCACUGAGACAAGGGCCCAGGCCCUACGGGGCGCAGCAGUCGCGAAAACUUUGCAAUAAGCGAAAGCUUGACAGGGCUAUCCCGAGUGCCAUCCGCUGAGGAAGGCUUUUACCCAGUCUAGAACGCUGGGGGAAUAAGGAGAGGGCAAGUCUGGUGUCAGCCGCCGCGGUAAUACCAGCUCUCCGAGUGGUGUGGAUGUUUAUUGGGCCUAAAGCAUCCGUAGCUGGCUAGGUCAGUCCCUUGUUAAAUCCACCGAAUUAAUCGUUGGAUUGCGGGGGAUACUGCUUGGCUAGGGGACGAGAGAGGCAGACGGUAUUUUCGGGGUAGGGGUGAAAUCCUAUAAUCCCGGGAAGACCACCAGUGGCGAAGGCUGUCUGCUAGAACGCGCCCGACGGUGAGGGAUGAAAGCUGGGGGAGCGAACCGGAUUAGAUACCCGGGUAGUCCCAGCUGUAAACGAUGCAGACUAGGUGUUUGGACGGCCACGUGCCGUUCUAGUGCCGCAGGGAAGCUGUUAAGUCUGCCGCCUGGGGAGUACGAUCGCAAGAUUGAAACUUAA